GGGCAUAUACACAUGUACAUACACAGCAUGCAUAUAUAUAUACUGUUCUCUUCUAUAUUUUCCAAUCAUGGAGUUAAUUAAUUAAGCUAAACUUGAGUUGGGUAAAGAAGAAAAUGAUGAAUCAAUUAAACCCUCUUAUUCACAAUUAACGUGGCAUGAAAAUGAAGGGCAUAUGUAUACACAACAUGCAUAUAUAUAUGUACUGUUCUCUUCUAUAUUUUCCAAUCUUGAAGUUAAUUAAUUAAGCUAAACU
rnacentral:lncRNA from 1 species